rnacentral:misc_RNA from 1 species
AAAUUUUUUAACAGCUGCCGGUUUUGAGAAGCAUCUUAAUUCUGCAACAAAUACAUAAUCAAGAUCCUCAACGCGCAAGUGAUCAUCACAAUUGUGAUAUAAAACUGCGUCAAGGUCGUCAUAUAUUCUAAGCCCUGGGCAUGCUUCCCGAUGAGGACGAGAAAAGGUUGUCACUUGAUAAUUAAGUGUAGCAGCAAAAUCGGCAGCUACACAAAG